GACGAACGCUGGCGGCGCGCUUAACACAUGCAAGUCGAACGGAAAGGCCUGCUUUCCCUUGUGGAUUGCGGGUACUCGAGUGGCGAACGGGUGAGUAACACGUGAGUGAUCUGCCCCCAACUUGGGUAUAAGCCUGGGAAACUGGGUCUAAUUCCCGAUAGGACUGCAGGGUGGUGCCUGUGGUGGAAAACGAUGUUCUAGUGGUUGGGGCUGAGCUCGCGGCCUAUCAGCUUGUUGGUGGGGUAAUGGCCUACCAAGGCGGCGACGGGUAGCCGGCCUGGGAGGGGGGACGGGCACAUUGGGACUGAGACACGGCCCAGACUACUACGGGAGGCAGCAGUGGGGAAGAUUGCACAAUGGGCGGAAGCCUGAUGCAGCGACGCCGCGUGGGGGAUGACGGCCUUCGGGUUGUAAACUCCUUUCGACCGCGAGGAAGCCACCUGGUUGGAAGGGUGGUGACGGUAGUGGUAGAAGAAGCACCGGCUAACUACGUG
rnacentral:rRNA from 1 species